CCUGCCGUGUUGCGUUACAAUAGCUAAGCCGCCAACCGCCAGCGCAAUUUGGUAGCAAAACAACCCGGCUGCGAAACCCCCUCCCAACACCAACCCAUUGAGAAAGUUGCACUAGUGGCCGAUAGUGCUGGCAGUUACCUGUGUUGCACCGUUAACGAAUCCUAGGACCUCAAGGGCCCCGGCAAGGGCCGAAGAGCCACACGAGGCCCGCUGCGACAAAACCAGGGACCGCUGCAUUGUGGCAACCCCCGGGAUUGCCCUGUGUGGGUGGGGGAUACGACGAGGCACAGACGAUUGAUGAGAAUAAGAACAUAGACGGGUACUCCAAGAUUAGACCAAUAAUACAGGACGAUCAGUAAGAUACUGACCCGUUGGUGGGUGAGGGGAAACUAGAGGACACUGUCCCAGCAGCGGGACACACCUCAUGGUGAUAGCCAGAACAGCGGCAGUUAGAGAAGCAAUGCGCCUGUGGGACCCAAGUAGAAGCUUUUGGAGUCCCCUGCCGUAUUGUGGUCCGGCACAUGCAUGCAUGCGCCCUGCUUCCACGCACCACGGCAGUUCCUUCGCAAUAACUUGCGUAUCGAUACACUCAUACUUCGCUUCGAGAAGUCAAAGCUGCACCAGAUCCCUAAAAGGGGUUAGUAGUGGAGGGGUUUUGCGGCGCCUAAUAGCAUUCUGUAGUAUCCAACCUUGAUGACCUUGGACUCUUGGUUGCAUGAAAAUUUGGCAAACUUGGCAACUGCAAUCAACAUCCAGUGCUUCCGACAGGUACCUUCUAUAAACAGGACAAAAGGCAGCACGCGGAAACACCAUAGUUCAGCUACAGCGAGCCGUGGGCCAGCUGCAGUAGCUGCAAUGCCCAGGAUUUGCAGAACUAACAUGUAACAUGAUCAAGAACCGGUAAUAACGUCAGAGCUGGCGUUGUCGCGGAGAACCAACGCAGGAGGAAUUCUUACAGUUUCGGCCAAACGCCAUGCAUUCUGCCAGGCGAAUAUACAUUUGUGUUAAAAUGUGAUAUUUGGAUGUUGCAUCGAAAGCGAGGCGUCGGAGUUGCUCACGGAGUUGAUUCUGUUGGAGACCUUACCCUCAGGCAGGACACUCAACACCCUUCCAGGCCACAAGUAAAAAUUUGGUACAAACUGACGCAGCUCUUCUG
rnacentral:lncRNA from 1 species